UACGUAGGGUGCGAGCGUUGUCCGGAAUUAUUGGGCGUAAAGAGCUCGUAGGCGGCUUGUCGCGUCGGCUGUGAAAACUCGGGGCUCAACCCCGAGCCUGCAGUCGAUACGGGCAGGCUAGAGUCCGGCAGGGGAGACUGGAAUUCCUGGUGUAGCGGUGAAAUGCACAGAUAUCAGGAGGAACACCGGUGGCGAAGGCGGGUCUCUGGGCCGGAACUGACGCUAAGGAGCGAAAGCGUGGGGAGCGAACAGG
rnacentral:rRNA from 1 species